GGGGGGAGCAAGCGUUGUUCGGAAUCACUGGGCGUAAAGGGCGUGUAGGCGGUCAGGUAAGUGGGAUGUGAAAUGCCCCGGCUCACCCGGGGACCGGCAUCCCAAACUGCUUGGCUUGAGUAUGGGAGAGGAUGAGGGAAUUCCUGGUGUAGCGGUGAAAUGCGUAGAUAUCAGGAGGAACACCGGUGGCGAAGGCGCUCAUCUGGCCCAAUACUGACGCUGAGGCGCGAAAGCUAGGGGAGCAAACGGGAUUAGAUACCCCGGUAGUCCUAGCCGUAAACGGUGAUCACUAGGUGUUGGGGGCAUCGACCCCUCCAGUGCCGCAGCUAACGCAUUAAGUGAUCCGCCUGGGGAGUACGGCCGCAAGGUUGAA
rnacentral:rRNA from 1 species